AUAUCCAUGGCAGGUGGGGUUCCCGCUCUGUGCUUUGGAGACCCCCUGCCUCUGUCUCUGUACAGGGGAGCUUCUUCCUUUGUUCUUCCCACUUCUAUCUUGCCUACUAAACUCUGGGCUCCUUAAAACCGCUCCACGUAUGUCCGUGUCGUUUUGUCUAAGCUGGCAUGAGGACCAAGAACCUUGGUGUUCCUCCACUCAUCGGAGCCGUAUCAGUAAGUUUUUGUUGAAAGCCAGAUGCCAGGUAAAAGGAACUCAGGUUCAAGAGGUACACGUGCAAUUUUCCACAUGGGCAAAUUGCAUGUCGUGGGGCUUUGGUGUACGGGACAUUUU
rnacentral:lncRNA from 1 species